UACAGAGGGCGCGAGCGUUGUCCGGAAUCACUGGGCGUAAAGGGCGCGUAGGUGGCCACCAUAAGGCCGCGGUGAAAGUUCGGGGCUCAACCCCGGAUCGGCCGCGGCGACUGUGGGGCUCGGGUACUGUAGAGGCAGAUGGAAUUCCGGGUGUAGCGGUGGAAUGCGUAGAGAUCCGGAAGAACACCAGUGGCGAAGGCGGGUCUCUGGACAGUUCCUGACACUGAGGCACGAAGGCCAGGGGAGCAAACGGG
rnacentral:rRNA from 1 species